GGUAAGUUCCGACCUGCACGAAUGGCGUAAUGAUGGCCAGGCUGUCUCCACCCGAGACUCAGUGAAAUUGAACUCGCUGUGAAGAUGCAGUGUACCCGCGGCAAGACGGAAAGACCCCGUGAACCUUUACUAUAGCUUGACACUGAACAUUGAGCCUUGAUGUGUAGGAUAGGUGGGAGGCUUUGAAGUGUGGACGCCAGUCUGCAUGGAGCCGGCCUUGAAAUACCACCCUUUAAUGUUUGAUGUUCUAACGUGGACCCGUAAUCCGGGUUGCGGACAGUGUCUGGUGGGUAGUUUGACUGGGGCGGUCUCCUCCUAAAGAGUAACGGAGGAGCACGAAGGUUGGCUAAUCCUGGUCGGACAUCAGGAGGUUAGUGCAAUGGCAUAAGCCAGCUUGACUGCGAGCGUGACGGCGCGAGCAGGUGCGAAAGCAGGUCAUAGUGAUCCGGUGGUUCUGAAUGGAAGGGCCAUCGCUCAACGGAUAAAAGGUACUCCGGGGAUAACAGGCUGAUACCGCCCAAGAGUUCAUAUCGACGGCGGUGUUUGGCACCUCGAUGUCGGCUCAUCACAUCCUGGGGCUGAAGUAGGUCCCAAGGGUAUGGCUGUUCGCCAUUUAAAGUGGUACGCGAGCUGGGUUUAGAACGUCGUGAGACAGUUCGGUCCCUAUCUGCCGUGGGCGCUGGAGAACUGAGGGGGGCUGCUCCUAGUACGAGAGGACCGGAGUGGACGCAUCACUGGUGUUCGGGUUGUCAUGCCAAUGGCACUGCCCGGUAGCUAAAUGCGGAAGAGAUAAGUGCUGAAAGCAUCUAAGCACGAAACUUGCCCCGA
rnacentral:rRNA from 1 species